rnacentral:tRNA from 3 species
GCGAGUGUAGUUUAGUGGUAAAACCUCAGCCUUCCAAGCUGAUGAUGGGAGUUCGAUUCUCCUCACUCGCU